ensembl:misc_RNA Metazoa_SRP Metazoan signal recognition particle RNA
ACUGGGUGUGGUGGCGCACACCUGUAGUCCCAGCUACUUGGGAGGCUGAGGCACAAGAAUCGCUUGAACCCAGGAGGCAGAGGUGGCAGUGAGAAGAAAUUGUGCCACUGAAUACCAGCCUGGGUGACAAAGCGAGAUUCUGUCUCUA